AUGUAUUUCUUUAGUGAUGAAGCUUUAUUGUUUUUCUCUAUCCAUAACUUGAGUUUUGCUCUGAUUCAGCAUACUAGAUUUGGGAGUAACUUUGCUUUCCAGGAUGAGGAAUUUUGUAUAACUUGGCUGGUAUUAUUUGUUUUGCUAAUUUGUUCCUUGGGGUGUAGGCCCAAUAGCUCUUUAGGUAUUAGGUGGAAGCUUAAUUGGUCAUGUUUCAUAUUGGGUACUAAGAAAGACUCGUCACAUUUCAGUGUUUGCUACUCAGCAUUUUGA
rnacentral:lncRNA from 1 species